rnacentral:rRNA from 1 species
UACAGCGGUCCCGAGCGUUGUUCGGAUUCACUGGGCGUAAAGGGUGCGUAGGUGGUUGGGUAAGUUUGAUGUGAAAGCUCAGGGCUUAACCCUGAAAUGGCAUUGAAUACUACUUAACUGGAGGUUUGGAGGGGGGACUGGAAUUCUUGGUGUAGCAGUGAAAUGCGUAGAUAUCAAGAGGAACACCAGUGGCGAAGGCGAGUCCCUGGACAACACCUGACACUGAGGCACGAAAGCUAGGGGAGCAAACAGG